GGUUGUUAGUCAAAGAUUUAAUCUAAAUAUUUGUUCCACUCUUUUCUUAAAAAAGGAUAGAAAUUCCAAUUCAGAAGAUCAUGAAAGCCAUACAAAUGCUAUGCAGUGCACUUAAAAGACCGGAAGAAGAAAGCAGCU
rnacentral:lncRNA from 1 species